ACCCCUUAAAAUAUAAAGCUAAUGACUUCAAUUCCUUAAAAGAAAAUUAGAAAAUCAAAUCGAAGGUUCGUAGUUCCUAGCGGGAGGAUGGAAGAGAACGGGGACGAGGGCGAAGCGCCGGCGGUAGAAGAAGGAAUGACUACUUUUUCUGACCACCAUUUCGGAAGUUAUGAAGACACCGGGGAUGGCUUCUCCAUCACCAUCAUCGAGAACAUGAAGGAAGAGUAUGGUUUGUUCGUAUGGCCUUGCAGUAUUAUUCUAGCUGAGUACGUUUGGCAACAAAGAUCGCGCUAUACUGGCACUACCGUGGUUGAGCUUGGAGCAGGAACCUCGUUGCCUGGGCUGGUUGCUGCAAAAGUAGGUGCAGAGGUGACGCUGACUGACGAUUCAAACAGAUCAGAGGUGCUCAUUCAUAUGAGAAGACAGUGUGACUUAAAUAAUAUCAAGUGCAAGAUACACGGACUUACAUGGGGUGUGUGGGAUACACAUACUUUCUCUCUGUGCCCAAACAUUAUCCUUGGAGCUGAUGUCCUAUAUGAAAGUUGCGCCUUUGAUGAUCUCUUUGCAACUGUGGCAUUUCUACUCCAGAGUAAUCCAUCUUCCGUUUUUAUUACUACAUAUCACAACAGAAGCGGGCAUCACCUAAUUGGAUUCUUGAUGGUGAAAUGGGGCCUGAAGUGUGUUAAGCUUCUUGAUGGGUUCACAUUCAUGCCGUCAUCCAAGACGUCUAGUUUGAGUGGUAAUAUUCAAUUGGCGGAGAUUGUUUUGGACACAGCUAAUGGAAACAAGAAAAAUUGAUUCAACUGAAUUCAAGUGUGAUGGUGCCAACUUUAUUUUAUGCUGACACAUAUUUUACUUUUGCAUUGGGAAACUUUUAUCACCACUGUGUAUCUCGCAGCAAAGGCUAAAGGUUUUGUGCGCGAGACUAUGCUGGAAGGCUAAAGUAUGUGUGUGCGAGACUAUGCUGGGACAAAGCGCUUCUCUCCACAUUUUCAAUGACAUAGGAUCCGUGCGAAGAAACAGUGGUCUUUUUGUGCCAACUUUUUUCUGCUUGGAGUUCAGCAAAAUAGAAGUAUCACAACCCGUCAAGAAGGUAAAAGGGGCACAAAAUCAUAAAAAGAAGAAUUUGCUUAGUGCAACCAGGGGAUGAAAUGUGAGAAAGUUUAACCAUUAUGGGAUUGUUUGAAUGAGGUUCUUAGUUGUGUACGCAGAUGACAUUAUCAUGGAAAUGCAUCAUUAUCGGUGUGCUGCAGGCACUGUUUUGUUUUCUUUGUGGCCUCCUCAGCAACUUGUUUGAUAGUGUAUUCAGCCGGAGGAGAUAUGAACACAAGUGAUGAGCACAAAUAAUUGUGUAUUUGAUUGAACUAUCUCCAGUACCAUUUCUGUUGCUUGCCCAACUAGAAAACAUACUCUAUAUUGACCAUAUUGGAAGAUUGAUGAGUGUAUUAUUGAACUUUUACAAUGUAGUACACUUUUACAGAAGAAAGCAGUGGAAUUCAGAGUAUGAGGAUCAUAACACCUAAAAAGUAAUUUGUGUGAAUCGGAUAUCUAUUUUUGUUAAGGUUUUCCAACGGGAAAAUAGUAGUCUGCUUUGGUCUCUACAGUGCAAGCCACGUAAGGGUAUAUUUGAACUUUCAAGUAUUUAGAGGUAUUUUUAGUUUGUUUUUUCAGUUGUUCAUGUACAUGUUUCAAGAUAUUGCUAGUGUGUGUAAAGAAAUCAAGGUUCAAGUCAUCUGCCCCUUAA